CAAGGAAUUUUCCCCAAUGGGCGCAAGCCUGAGGGAGCAACGCCGCGUGCAGGAUGACGGCUUUCGGGUUGUAAACUGCUUUUGCGUGGGACGAUAACGACGGUACCACGCGAAUAAGCCCCGGCUAACUCUGUGCCAGCAGCCGCGGUAAUACGGAGGGUGCGAGCGUUAAUCGGAAUUACUGGGCGUAAAGCGCGCGUAGGCGGUUUGUUAAGUCGGAUGUGAAAGCCCCGGGCUCAACCUGGGAACUGCACCCGAUACUGGCCGACUGGAGUGCGAGAGAGGGAGGUAGAAUUCCACGUGUAGCGGUGAAAUGCGUAGAUAUGUGGAGGAAUACCGGUGGCGAAGGCGGCCUCCUGGCUCGACACUGACGCUGAGGUGCGAAAGCGUGGGGAGCAAACAGGAUUAGAUACCCCCGUAGUCC
rnacentral:rRNA from 1 species